GGGUGUGAUGGAGUGGAGGUAUAUGUACGUGUGUGUGGAUGUGUUGGGGUUGUGGGGUGAGUGAAUGGGAGGAAGAAUGGGAUGAGGAAACGUGCAAGUGGGUAUGGGAUAGGUAGUUCUGUUUAGAUUUUUAUUUUUUAAUAAUUAAUAUAUACAGUAUAAUAUAAUUAAGAAAUAUCAGCUUAUUUAUUAAACUAAA
rnacentral:lncRNA from 1 species